GGGGGGGGGGGGGGGGGGGGGGAGGGGAGGGGGGGGGGGGGGGAAGGGGCUGCGUUUGUGGGGGGCGCGAGUGGCGAAAGGGUGAGUAAAGCGUGGGUCACCUGCCCUUGACUUUGGGAUGACUUCAGGAAAAUGGGGCUAAUAGCGGAUGGGAGCUCCUGCGGCAUGGUGGGUGUUUGAAAGGUGCGGCGGUUGGGGAUGGACUCGCGGCUUAUCGGCGUGUUGGUGGGGUAGUGGCUUACCAAGGCUUUGACGGGUAGCCGGCCUGAGAGGGUGACCGGCCACAUUGGGACUGAGAUACGGCCCAGACUCCUACGGGAGGCAGCAGUGGGGAAUAUUGCACAAUGGGCGGAAGCCUGAUGCAGCAACGCCGCGUGCGGGAUGACGGCCUUCGGGUUGUAAACCGCUUUCGCCUGUGACGAAGCGUGAGUGACGGUAAUGGGUAAAGAAGCACCGGCUAACUACGUG
rnacentral:rRNA from 1 species